rnacentral:tRNA from 1 species
GUUUCCGUUGUGUAGCGGUUAUCAUAUCUGCCUGACACGCAGAAAAUCCCCAGUUUGAUCCUGGGCGGAAACA